GAUGAACGCUGGCGGCGUGCCUAAUACAUGCAAGUCGAGCGAACAGAUAAGGAGCUUGCUCCUUUGACGUUAGCGGCGGACGGGUGAGUAACACGUGGGUAACCUACCUAUAAGACUGGGAUAACUUCGGGAAACCGGAGCUAAUACCGGAUAACAUUUGGAACCGCAUGGUUCUAAAGUGAAAGAUGGUUUUGCUAUCACUUAUAGAUGGACCCGCGCCGUAUUAGCUAGUUGGUAAGGUAACGGCUUACCAAGGCGACGAUACGUAGCCGACCUGAGAGGGUGAUCGGCCACACUGGAACUGAGACACGGUCCAGACUCCUACGGGAGGCAGCAGUAAGGAAUCUUCCGCAAUGGGCGAAAGCCUGACGGAGCAACGCCGCGUGAGUGAUGAAGGGUUUCGGCUCGUAAAACUCUGUUAUUAGGGAAGAACAAACGUGUAAGUAACUGUGCACGUCUUGACGGUACCUAAUCAGAAAGCCACGGCUAACUACGUG
rnacentral:rRNA from 1 species